UAGUUUGUACCAUUUAGUUAAUGAUAAAGAUAGAACUUCAAUGAAACAAAAAUAUAUACAAAAUCAGAUUUAUUUGGAAAUUUACAUCAUGGAAAUUGAAAAAGCAGUUCUGGCCUUUGAUGCAUAGCUUGCAUUGUCCUUUGCACCAAAAUGUUGGGAAAUUAUAGAACCCAUCAUAUUUCAGGUCUGCAGUUGGCCUUUCUCUACAGGGUGUUUUUAUCAUUUUUUUUGGUGCUGGUGGUACAGAAAGACUAAAGAUUUUAAUAAUUUGAUUAUUCUAUCAAUUAUUUUGACACAUCGUGUGCUCUGUCAGUAUUGUUGGCAGAACGUUGUUUUGGUGGAUUUAAAAUGUUUAAUAUUUGUAUUGGAUUUUAGAUGUUAGAAUGCCUCUUUUUGAAUCUCUCCCGAGUAUUGAAAAAUGUUGCUGUUUCUCUUUGAAAACUGGUUCAAUUAUAUUCGCAGUAUGUGGAGUAUUAUCUGCCCUAAAUAUGAUUGAUUUGCUAGUGCCUUGCUCUGGCGAAAAAUUAUAUAUGAAAUUCUUCAAAUUUACAUGGGCGGUGUCGGGAUUGAUGAUUUUUGGUGCCAGCAUUAUGUUUCUCAUUGGAAUAUGUUGCCAUAGAAAAAGGAUUACGGCAACUGUAUUUCUGUCCACCACAGCUAUUUUUAUCAUAGUGUCUACAGCUAUGGGUAUAAUGGGCGCUGUGGAGUAUAAUCUCAAUAACAAUUGUAUUGAGCCUCACCAUGUAAUCGCAUGGUUUCUGAAUAUACCAUAUGGAAUCUUUACUAUGCUCGUGGUGAGAAGCUACAGAGAUAGCAUGGAAGAUUAAAUCCUCAGAAUUCACUUGUGUAACAUGCAUUAAGAUGUGAACAUUUCAAAAAUGCAUUUGGUAAUAGAUAGUAGACUCAAGGUCUCAAAUGUCUCAUGUAGAUCCUAAAAAACCUGUAUACCAAUUUGAGGGAUACUAUGAAGAAAUCAAAUACACUUAAAGUUCAUUUAGUUAUGACAAAUUUAUUAAAUAUAAAUUAAAAA